GGAUUAGAUACCCUGGUAGUCCACGCUGUAAACGAUGAUUACUCGCUGUUGGCGAUACACUGUCAGUGGCUGAGCGAAAGCAUUAAGUAAUCCACCUGGGGAGUACGGUCGCAAGAUUGAAACUCAAAGGAAUUGACGGGGGCCCGCACAAGCGGUGGAGCAUGUGGUUUAAUUCGAUGAUACGCGAGGAACCUUACCAGGGCUUAAAUGUUGAUUGACAGAUCUGGAAACAGAUUUUUCUUCGGACAAUUAACAAGGUGCUGCAUGGUUGUCGUCAGCUCGUGCCG
rnacentral:rRNA from 1 species